rnacentral:rRNA from 1 species
GUAGUCUCGCACAGAUGCAUAUCAAUAAGCGGAGGAAAAGAAACUAACAAGGAUUCCCCUAGUAACGGCGAGUGAAGCGGGAAGAGCUCAAAUUUGAAAUCUUAAAGGGUUUCCCUUUACGAAUUGUAGUUUAAAGAAGUGUUUUCUGUUGAGGUUUUGGUAAAAGUUCUUUGGAAUAGGACAUCAUAGAGGGUGAGAAUCCCGUAUUUGACCUUUACUUUCAACUUUGUGAUACACUUUCAAAGAGUCGGAUUGUUUGGGAAUGCAGUCCAAAAUGGGUGGUAAAUUUCAUCUAAAGCUAAAUAUUGGCGAGAGACCGAUAGCGAACAAGUACCGUGAGGGAAAGAUGAAAAGAACUUUGAAAAGAGAGUUAAACAGUACGUGAAAUUGUCAAAAGGGAAGCGUUUGACACCAGUGUUGUUUUUCUGAAAAUCAAUUAAAGAACUGUUUAUGCUAAGUUGUUUAGACUUUAUCAGCUAUCUGCUUUAGUUUUGAGCUUUUCUUUAAUGCACUUUUCAGUUAACAAGUCAACAUCAAUUUCUUUUGCUGUAAAAAAGCUUGAGGAAGGUGGCUUGAGAUUCGUCUUAAGUGUUUAUAGCCUCUUGCCUAUGCAGUCGGAGAGAUUGAGGUCUGCAGCGUAGAUCCUUCGGGGCUAAAUGCAUUUGUGCUAAGUUAUAGCAUUUUAUAGACAACUUGUUGACUAUGAUUUGUCUUGUAGCUUACUCGCUUAUGUUAUUUUACCUACGCUUAGGAUGUUGACAGCAGUAUAGACUGU